UACGGGGGGGAGCAAGCGUUGUCCGGAAUUAUUGGGCGUAAAGAGCUCGUAGGCGGUCUGUCGCGUCCGCUGUGAAAACUCGGGGCUUAACCCCGAGCCUGCAGUGGAUACGGGCAGACUAGAGGUAGGUAGGGGAGAAUGGAAUUCCCGGUGUAGCGGUGAAAUGCGCAGAUAGUCGGGAGGAACACCGGUGGCGAAGGCGGUUCUCUGGGCCUUACCUGACGCUGAGGAGCGAAAGCGUGGGGAGCGA
rnacentral:rRNA from 1 species